rnacentral:rRNA from 1 species
GAUGAACGCUGGCGGCGUGCCUAAUACAUGCAAGUCGAGCGAAUGGAUUAAGAGCUUGCUCUUAUGAAGUUAGCGGCGGACGGGUGAGUAACACGUGGGUAACCUGCCCAUAAGACUGGGAUAACUCCGGGAAACCGGGGCUAAUACCGGAUAACAUUUUGAACCGCAUGGUUCGAAAUUGAAAGGCGGCUUCGGCUGUCACUUAUGGAUGGACCCGCGUCGCAUUAGCUAGUUGGUGAGGUAACGGCUCACCAAGGCAACGAUGCGUAGCCGACCUGAGAGGGUGAACGGCCACACUUGGGCUGGGACACGGGCCAGACUCCUACGGGAGGCAGCAGUAGGGAAUCUUCCGCAAUGGACGAAAGUCUGACGGAGGAACGCCGCGUGAGUGAUGAAGGCUUUCGGGUCGUAAAACUCUGUUGUUAGGGAAGAACAAGUGCUAGUUGAAUAAGCUGGCACCUUGACGGUACCUAACCAGAAAGCCACGGCUAACUACGUGCCAGCCGCCGCAGUAA